UGGGGAAUAUUGGACAAUGGGCGCAAGCCUGCUCCAGCCAUGCCGCGUGAGUGAUGAAGGCCCUAGGGUUGUAAAGCUCUUUCACCGGCGAAGAUAAUGACGGUAACCGGAGAAGAAGCCCCGGCUAACUUCGUGCCAGCAGCCGCGGUAAUACGAAGGGGGCUAGCGUUGUUCGGAUUUACUGGGCGUAAAGCGCACGUAGGCGGACUAUUAAGUCAGGGGUGAAAUCCCGGUGCUCAACCCCGGAACUGCCUUUGAUACUGGUAGUCUUGAGUUCGAGAGAGUUGGGUGGAAUUCCGGGUGUAGAGGUUAAAAUCGUAGAUAUUCGGGGGAACACCAGUGGCGAAGGCGGCUCACUGGCUCAAUACUGACGCUGAGGUGCGAAAGCGUGGGGAGCAAACAGG
rnacentral:rRNA from 1 species